rnacentral:rRNA from 1 species
GGGGAAUCUUGCGCAAUGGGGGAAACCCUGACGCAGCAACGCCGCGUGAGUGAUGAAGGUCUUCGGAUCGUAAAGCUCUGUCGGUAGGAACGAUGGUUUCGUUAGCUAACAACUAACGGGAUUGACGGUACCUACAAAGGAAGCACCGGCUAACUCUGUGCCAGCAGCCGCGGUAAGACAGAGGGUGCAAGCGUUGUUCGGAAUCAUUGGGCGUAAAGGGCGCGUAGGCGGCAUUAUAAGUCUGAUGUGAAAUCCCAGGGCUCAACCCUGGAAGUGCAUCAGAUACUGUUUUGCUUGAGUUUCGGAGAGGGUGGUGGAAUUCCCAGUGUAGAGGUGAAAUUCGUAGAUAUUGGGAGGAACACCGGUGGCGAAGGCGACCACCUGGACGAAUACUGACGCUGAGGCGCGAAAGCGUGGGGAUCAAAC